rnacentral:rRNA from 1 species
UACGUAGGGCGCGAGCGUUGUCCGGAUGUACUGGGCGUAAAGGGCGCGCAGGCGGCGCAUUUUGUCAGGCGUGAAAGCCCCGGGCUCAACCUGGGAACUGCAUUUGUGACUGCAAGGCUAGAGUACGGUAGAGGGGGAUGGAAUUCCGCGUGUAGCAGUGAAAUGCGUAGAUAUGCGGAGGAACACCGAUGGCGAAGGCAAUCCCCUGGACCUGUACUGACGCUCAUGCACGAAAGCGUGGGGAGCAAACAGG